rnacentral:tRNA from 1 species
GGAGAGGUGGCUGAGUGGCCGAAAGCGACGGUUUGCUAAACCGUUGAAGGGUUUGACCCCUUCCGCAGGUUCGAAUCCUGUCUUCUCCG